GACGUAGGGCGCGAGCGUUGUCCGGAUUUAUUGGGCGUAAAGAGCUCAUAGGCGGCUUGUUGCGUCAGCUGUGAAAACCCGCAGCUCAACUGUGGGCUUGCAGCUGAUACGGGCAGGCUUGAGUUCGGUAGGGGAGACUGGAAUUCCUGGUGUAGCGGUGAAAUGCGCAGAUAUCAGGAGGAACACCGGUGGCGAAGGCGGGUCUCUGGGCAGUAACUGACGCUGAGGAGCGAAAGCGUGGGGAGCGAACAGG
rnacentral:rRNA from 1 species